CAGAAAUUGUCUGAGGGGUGGUCAGAGCUACACAGACUAUAGAGUAGUUACAUAAGAGGGGUGUGUGUGUGUGUCUGUAUGUCUAUGUGCCUGUGAUGUGGUGUAGGCAUGUGUGGAAAGAGAGAGAGAGAGAGAGAGAGAGAGAGAGAGAGAGAGAGAGAGAAUGUGCAUGUCUGUUCGUGUGUGUACAUGUAUAUGUGUAUGUAAAUGAAGACACAUUCUUAUGUGUAUGGAGGCUAGAGUUCAACUUCAGGUGUUGGUCCUCGGAAACUGUCUACCUUGCUUUUUGAGACAAGGUCUCUCCCAGUGACCUAGGCUCACUAAUUCAGCUAGGCUGGCUGGCUGGCUGGCUGGCGGGCCUCUGGGGUGUCUCUGUCUCUGCCUCCCCAAUGCUGGGGUUGUAAGUAUGCAUCACCACGCCCAGCUUGUGACAUGGGUGCUGGGGCUUGAGUUCAGAUCAUCAUGCUUGCUUGGACAAACCCCCAGCCCCCCAAAGAACGCUUUAGAUACAGGUGAAGGUAUGAUAGUUAAUCUCACGUGUCAACGGGACUGAGCUAGAAGAUAGCCAGAGAACUGAUGAACAGUUAGUCCUGGGCGUGUCGCUGAGUAGUUUCUGGAAAGAGCUCAGCAUCUGGCUGAUAAACCUGGUGGUACCAUCCAGUCCACUGAGGGUCUCAACAGAACAAAGACAUGGUGGAAACAAGGGACAUAUCCACCCUGUCCCAACCUGGGGCUUGUGGUUCCUGUGUCUGGGAACUCAGUGAGAAUCACCAACUCUCCCUGUUCUCUAGAUAGAAGAUGGUGGAGAACUCUAGCAUCCCUAAUUGUGUGGCCAGUUUCCAUUAUAAAUCACCUCUGUGUAUCUUCUAUUGGGUGUUUCUCUGAAGAGUCUUAACACAGGCUCGAAAGCCUACUGAUCUGUCCCAUGUCUAUCAGUCCAGGUCACUCCUGCAGAGCCCAUGGCCUUUACUACUGUGCCCAUGAUAGUCCCUCUGGGGUCCUUCCAUUUGGCCAUCACCCCAGAGCAGCAUCCACUGAGCUGAGACAUGGAUUCCUCCUCUCACAGUCCAUCCACUUUAUCUAAGGACCUCCCUUUAACCACACAGAGGAAAACAGCUGGAAUCUGCUUUUUGACAAUGGAGCAGAGGUGUCCUAAGGGUACAAGGAGCCACAAGCCAUCUACUGUCUCCGAUGAAGAUGCUUAGUAAAUAUUUGUGGAGCAGAGGAUGAAGCACUGACUGGGAGCCUGGGAGAUAGCUCAGUCAGUAUGGCCAUGAAGACAUGAAUUCCUUAUAACCCAGAAGAAAAUGCCAGGUGCAUGCUUAGAAUCCCACCGCCGGGGAGGAGGAAACUGAAGAUCCCUGGGAUAGCUGGCUGGUCAGCCUAGCUUCCUCAGUGAGCCCCAGGCUCAAUGCUUCCUGUGGCAAGCUCCCAGGGGCCCCACCUCAAGGGUGCCUCUUCCCCAUGACCACCUGUGACCUUCAAAAUGACAGCUGCCAAGGAUGCUGAAGAUGGUCAGCCUGGCUCAUCACCAACUCUGGAACUCAGCAGCUGCAUCAAUGUGGAUGGGGAAAAAAAAGUCUCGGUUACAUUGAUCUUUGCCAGUGUCUCCUUCAGCAACAUACAUCGCCACAACCACAUCUCCAGUGGUCUCUGGGAACAUCAUCACUAUUUUCAGAUCUGUGACAGUUGUGUCAGGUGGUUGAAAAUGUCAUUAAACCCAUUACUGCUUCAAAAUUACAGUCAUUAUUGAAACCUGCUCCUAGA
rnacentral:lncRNA from 1 species